rnacentral:rRNA from 1 species
GUUUUUAUUUCUUUUUUUUUCCCCCCUUUUUUGUGUGGGGGGGGGGGAAAAAAUAAAAAAACCCGGGGGGGGAAAAAAAUUUUUUUUUUGUUAUAAUUUCCCCCUUCAAAUAAAGUUUUUUUUACGGGGGGAAAAAAAUUUUUUUUUGGGCCCCCAAGGGGAAGGGGGCCCUGGCCCCUUGUAUUUAAUUUUUUUGGGUAGGGGUAAAAUGGCCCUCCCCAAAGGCUUUUGUUCCAAAUGGGUGUUUUUUGAGGAGGGUGGUUUAAGCCCCCUUGGGGGAUUGAGGCCCCGGGCCCAAAAUCCUACCGGGGAGGCAGCCAGUAGGGGAUUUUUGCCCAAAUGGAAGAAACUUUUGAAGCAAGCGAUGCCGCGUGAAUGAAGAAAGCCUUUUGGUUGUAAAGUUUUUUCGUCGGGGAAGAAAAUGACUGUACCCGAAUAAGAAGGGUCCGGCUAACUUCGUGCCAGCAGCCGCGGUAAUACGAAGGGACCUAGCGUAGUUCGGAAAUUACGGGGCUUAAAGAGUUCGUAGGUGUUUAAAAAAGUUGGUGGUGAAAGCCCAGAGCUUAACUCUGGAAUUGCCAUCAAAACUUNUUAGCUAGAGUUUGAUAGAGGAAAGCAGAAUUUCUAGUGUAGAGGUGAAAUUCGUAGAUAUUAGAAAGAAUACCGAUUGCGAAGGCAGCUUUCUGGAUCAUUACUGACACUGAGGAACGAAAGCAUGGGUAGCGAAGAGGAUUAGAUACCCUCGUAGUCCAUGCCGUAAACGAUGUGUGUUAGAUGUUGGAAAUUUAUUUUCAGUAUCACAGCGAAAGCAAUAAACACACCGCCUGGGGAGUACGACCGCAAGGUUAAAACUCAAAUGAAUUGACGGGGACCCGCACAAGUAGUGGAGCAUGUGGUUUAAUUCGAAGAUACGCGCAGAACCUUACCAACACUUGACAUGUUCGUCGCGACUCUAAGAGAUUAGAGUUUUCGGUUCGGCCGGACGAAACACAGGUGCUGCAUGGCUGUCGUCAGCUCGUGUCGUGAGAUGUUGGGUUAAGUCCCGCAACGAGCGCAACCCUCACUUUUAGUUGCCAUCAUUUAGUUGGGCACUCUGAAAGAACUGCCAGUGAUAAGCUGGAGGAAGGUGGGGAUGACGUCAAGUCCUCAUGGCCCUUACGUGUUGGGCUACACACGUGCUACAAUGGUAUCUACAACAGGAAGCAAAACAGCGAUGUUAAGCAAAUCCCAAAAAGAUACCUCAGUUCGGAUUGUACUCUGCAACUCGAGUACAUGAAGCUGGAAUUACUAGUAAUCGUGGAUCAGCGUGUCUUUGUUUAUUCGCCCC